rnacentral:rRNA from 1 species
UCGAGAAUUUUUCUCAAUGGGCGAAAGCCUGAAGGAGCGACGCCGCGUGGGGGAUGAAUGGCUUCGGCCCGUAAACCCCUGUCAUUUGUGAACAAAUUGUUUCACCUAACACGUGAAGCAUUGAUUGUAACGGAAGAGGAAGGGACGGCUAACUCUGUGCCAGCAGCCGCGGUAAUACAGAGGUCCCAAGCGUUGUUCGGAUUCACUGGGCGUAAAGGGUGCGUAGGCGGUGAGGUAAGUCUGACGUGAAAUCUCCGAGCCUAACUCGGAAACUGCGUUGGAUACUAUCUCACUAGAGGAAUGGAGGGGAGACUGGAAUACUUGGUGUAGCAGUGAAAUGCGUAGAUAUCAAGUGGAACACCAGUGGCGAAGGCGAGUCUCUGGACAUUUCCUGACGCUGAGGCACGAAAGCCAGGGGAGCAAACGGGAUUAGAUACCCCCGUAGUCC